rnacentral:rRNA from 1 species
CGACCGGCGCACGGGUGAGUAACGCGUAUCCGACCUGCCUUACACUCUUGGACAGCCUUCUGAAAGGGAGAUUAAUACAAGAUGUUAUCAUGAGUAAGCAUUUUCACAUGAUUAAAGGUUUACCGGUGUAAGAUGGGGAUGCGUUCCAUUAGAUAGUAGGCGGGGUAACGGCCCACCUAGUCUUCGAUGGAUAGGGGUUCUGAGAGGAAGGUCCCCCACAUUGGAACUGAGACACGGUCCAA